AAGGCUUGACAUAUACGAGAACGGGCCAGAAAUGGUCAACUCUUUGGACACUCGUAAACAGGUGGUGCAUGGUUGUCGUCAGCUCGUGUCGUGAGAUGUUGGGUUAAGUCCCGCAACGAGCGCAACCCUCGUUCUAUGUUGCCAGCACGUAAUGGUGGGAACUCAUGGGAUACUGCCGGGGUCAACUCGGAGGAAGGUGGGGAUGACGUUCCCUUCCAUCACA
rnacentral:misc_RNA from 1 species